rnacentral:misc_RNA from 1 species
ACGUAUCUGCCCUCGGAGGGUGAUGGGGGUGGCCCCCGCUCCGACGCCUCUGUCGUGAGAGCGGGGCCCCCGUCGCCGCCGAACAACUACAAACCCACUGUGCACCUUUCGCGGUGGAGGGUGCGGCGCGAGCCCGCCCAAAGCCGCGGCCUCACAGACUCGUCUUGGAAUGUCUUGCGGAUCUGUUCCGCCCAUAAACGUAA